UACAGAGGGUGCAAGCGUUAAUCGGAAUUACUGGGCGUAAAGCGUGCGCAGGCGGUUGUGCAAGACAGAUGUGAAAUCCCCGGGCUUAACCUGGGAAUGGCAUUUGUGACUGCACGGCUAGAGUGUGUCAGAGGGGGGUAGAAUUCCACGUGUAGCAGUGAAAUGCGUAGAGAUGUGGAGGAAUACCGAUGGCGAAGGCAGCCCCCUGGGAUAACACUGACGCUCAUGCACGAAAGCGUGGGGAGCAAACAGG
rnacentral:rRNA from 1 species